GUGAAUCAUCGAAUCUUUGAACGCACAUUGCGCCUCCUGUAACUCGGAGGCAUGCCUGUCUGAGCGUCAUUUGAAACCAUAAAUCCCGAACGGGGUCUGCAUUGGGCAUCGCCUCCUGGCGUAGCCUCAAAGGCAUUGGUCUUAUGUGUGGACGAGCUCCUUUAGGACAGCCCGUGCCUGGACCUUAAAACAUCUAAGUCGACCUCAGAUCAGGUAGGGCUACCGCCUGAACUUAAGCAUAUCAAUAAGCGGAGGA
rnacentral:misc_RNA from 1 species